rnacentral:rRNA from 1 species
CUCCGGAAGGCCCUUGCGUCCCUAGUACCGCUGGUCACCUGGGCCAUCUGGAAGCACCGCAAUGCUUGCAUCUUUGACCUUCAGCAACCCUCGGUUAGCUGCUUGUUCUCCUCGAUUCAAGAUGAUGUGCGCACCUGGGCCUCGGCCGGCGCCAAAGGACUCCAAGUUAUAAUUGACGCGUUAUAA